UACGAAGGGGGCUAGCGUUGUUCGGAAUUACUGGGCGUAAAGCGCGUGUAGGCGGGUCUUUUAAGUCAGGGGUGAAAUGCCAAGGCUCAACCUUGGAACUGCCUUUGAUACUGGAGAUCUUGAGUCCGGGAGAGGUGAGUGGAACUGCGAGUGUAGAGGUGAAAUUCGUAGAUAUUCGCAAGAACACCAGUGGCGAAGGCGGCUCACUGGCCCGGAACUGGACGCUGAGACG
rnacentral:rRNA from 1 species